CCUCCCUUUUGGUUUCAGGUUUUGCGGCCUUUUGGGGGAGGUGGGUACUGUCACGCCCUGACCAUAGAGAGCCAUUGUUUCUCUAUGGUGAAGUGGUUCAGGGUGUGACUGGGGGGUGAUGUAGUUUAUUUAUUUCUGUGUGGGGUUCUAGGUUUUAUUUUCUAUGUUGGAGAUUUGCAUUAUUCCCAAUUAGAGGCAGCUGUUAAUUGUUGUCUCUAAUUGGGGAUCAUACUUAAGUAGCAUUUUUUCCAUGUAGGUUAUGGGGUAUUAUUUUGAGUUUGUGCCUGUUGCACCUCUGUCGUAGCGGUUUGUUUGUGUAUAGUUUAUUGUUUGUCUUGCUAAGUUUCACAUAAUAAUAAUAAUAAUAAAGAUGUGGAACGAUACUCAAGCUGCGCCUUGGUCCGUUUCUACAAAACGCUCGUGACACGUUCAAAUCCUUUUGCUGCAGGAUUAUUUCGCUGCAACCAUACUGGAUAAUUAAGAUCUUACAUCUGUACAUCUACAGUAUAUGUUUAAUUUGUAAUAUUAGACAAUGUGCAAAAUGUUUCCUCUUUUAGGAACUUGACCAUAAUAUGUGUUUUAUUUACAGGGCAAGAAGAGCCUGUUAACCCAAAGGUUUUUGAGAUUGUAGGAAAAACCGUUGGGUUGCUUUUCCUUUUCAGCCUGAUCGUAUUCUUUGCAUGGUAAAAAGAUAUUCCCAUCCUCAAUGCAAACAUAUUUAUCAUGCUGUUUGUGCUUUUGUAUGUGAAAACCUAAAUGAUGUCAAAAUACCUUUUAUUCUUGUCUUCCAGGAGGAGGAGAACAUCUAGACUCCCCAGUGGGUUUGACAUGACAGACCGUUCACAGGGACAGAACUCCCCGGUUGGGACAGUAUGCUUUAACCAGGCCACGGUCGGUAGAGGGAACCAGUAACCACCACUUAACUACUUAGAUGGGCUUAAUGCACAAGUCAAUAAAAGAGGUGCAUUUUAUGUAUUUCGCCAAUGAGUAUUAAGUGUUUUUAUGUACAGUAUUGUCAUUGUGCAUUCAUUUUAUAUUGAUGCUUUUGUUACAUUUAUAAUUGUGUGCUCUUUGAUUAUCUGCAUAUUUGUAGAAUUUGCUGGGAUGAAAAGUGUUUAACUGUUACUAUAAUGGUGAUACGAUGAUGUAGGCUACUCUUUAUUUUUGACCAUUUAUUUUGAGUGAUGAGUUCACAGAGCAUCUGUUUAAUGGGUUCCAGUAUAGAGGAACUGCUGAGUUCAACUAGCCUACUGAAGGCAGUUUAAGACCAUAUAAAGUCAAUGAUGACUGAGGAGAGAAGACACAGUUAUACAGACAAUGGUCUGAUGCAAGACAGGAAGUUGGUGAAGUAAGUCUACGUGACGGCAGAAUGGUGUUAAAAUCUACUAGUCACUGUUUCUCAUCAUCUAUUGUGCAGUUCCCAGAAUGACAAUAUCAUCUAUUUUCAGUUUAUAUCUAUUUUGAAGUUAUUGUGUCAGUUUUUAUGUUGAGUGUUAAAUCAAAGAAACACCUGAGGCUGAAUUUAAGGUUGUUUAUUAAUUGCACUGUAAUUAAAACAUUUACAUUCAAUUUCCAUGAAAUCUUUUUGUCUUAUUGGUCCAACAUUUGACAUAUUUCAUUAAAAUUGAUUACAUUUAGAUGUGUCACUGGCCUACACACAAUACCCAUUAAUGUGGAAUGAUGUUUUGAAUUAGAAAAUAAAUUAAAAGAUGAAAUAUCUUGAGUCAAU
rnacentral:lncRNA from 8 species